GCCAGGUGUGGUGGUGCAUGCUUGUAAUCCCAGUGGCUCAGGAGGCUGAGGCAGGAGAAUUGCAAGUUCAAAGCCAGCCUUAGCAAUUGAGCAAGACCCUGUCUCAA
rnacentral:sRNA from 1 species